rnacentral:rRNA from 1 species
UUUCCUGAGGAAGGCUCGUCCGCUCAGGGUUAGUCGGGACCUAAGCCGAGGCCGAAAGGCGUAGGCGAUGGACAACAGGUUGAUAUUCCUGUACCACCUCCUCACCAUUUGAGCAAUGGGGGGACGCAGGAGGAUAGGGCAAGCGCGGUAUUGGAUAUCCGCGUCCAAGCAGUUAGGCUGGGAAAUAGGCAAAUCCGUUUCCCGUAAGGCUGAGCUGUGAUGGCGAGCGAAAUAUAGUAGCGAAGUUCCUGAUUCCACACUGCCAAGAAAAGCCUCUAGCGAGGUGAGAGGUGCCCGUACCGCAAACCGACACAGGUAGGCGAGGAGAGAAUCCUAAGGUGAUCGAGAGAACUCUCGUUAAGGAACUCGGCAAAAUGACCCCGUAACUUCGGGAGAAGGGGUGCUCUGUUAGG